rnacentral:lncRNA from 1 species
CUGAUUUUAACUUAUGUCUAUGUAGCAUGAUUCCAUCAAGUAUACAGUUAAGUUUUCUAUUUUUGCUGUAGUUCAUUUAUAUAAUAUGGACAUGGUUAUGUGAGUAGCAGAAUGCAAGAUCGGUAUAUCGUUUUAGUUUUUGACAAUAUGUUACUGGGAUAUUUUCUAGAAUGGGUUAUGGGGAGAUUGUCUGCGCAUUUUGGAAAGACGUGCAGUACUUGAGGUAAACGCAAAUAAAAUGGUUGGAUUAUUUGUCUCUAAAAGAAAUUGUAACUAUCAUACAAUAAAUUACCAAAAUGUGCAGCCCGUGUAAGAUUAACUCAAUCUCUUCUACUUCGCCUAUGUUCCGAUCCACACUGGCACAACAAAGUCCAGGAGCCAAUGACAUGAAGAAGACAUCAACAAAAGUGAUGUCAUAUUAAAGUUUUCUCGAAAGAGAACAUGAGGAUAUUAAUCAAUUAAAAGAGGGAUACAAGUAUUUUGAGCCCUGUUACAUAUGAAGAACUUCAUUAACACGUACACGAAGUCGUACUCAUCUAUUACAACAGAUUUGAUUUCUUGUAGCUUCAAGCUGGAAGCUUCAAAUACUCUUUUUUUGCUGAAAGAUUCAUUGUGAGUGAAAUAGGUUGGUUAUCCAGUGUGCUUAAUUCCAAAAAAAUUAGAGAAAUGAAAGAAGUUGGAUAGAAUUGAUUAAAAAACUAAUUGAUUGUGCAAAGCCAAACCGUGAGUGCAAAUUAUCUCCUACCCAACGUGAACUAAUGCAGGAAGAAAUUGUUAAAAUAUGAAUUUUUGGAGGUAAUAAUUUCCCUUGUCAUAUGAUUUCUAGAGCUUUCCUGUUUCUUGGUUUCUUAGAUAUGUUAUAUCUAUAUAAUUGUGUUCCCUCUCUAAUUUGGUUUUAGUGCGUUCGUUGUCAUUUAUAAUUACCUUGGCAUCAAAGUUGUACUCAUCCUGUAAAUACCUUUCAUAAAUUGCUCAGCAGUUCUAUUAGAACUUUUUAGACUUCACUACAAAUUGCAGUCCCAUUUUCUAGGUUUAUUUUGGUGUUACAAAACUAGCUUUGAAUAUCGGUUGAAGAAUAAUUUAUUCUUUCAUGCUUCUGCCUGUGGAGAGCCUUAGACACCAAUAUAAAUUUUGCAAUACUACUGUUUUGAUGGCAUUCAGGUCAGCAUACAAUUAUGUUUUUCAUGAAAUGGAAAGUUAAAUGAAGAGGGGUGGAUUUUUACAAAAAAUGUCAGCCUGCUUUGGAAAGAAGUGAGACAAAAACUGGUGUUUUGGGAAAAAAAGGGGGUGUGUGUGUGUCUCAGAAAUUAUGUAUGAAAUUAUUCUUUUGGGGCUUUAUCAGUUAAAUUUGAAUGCUGCUCUACAUUUAUUUGUUAUUCAUACUCCAUCAUGUGGGCUUCCUAAUGCACAUAUGAUAUACUGAUUCAAAGUUGCUGGGUACGUUUGGUAAAUGAAUUUUGAAUUGUAUCUCUCAUAUGCCUUCCAUCCCGUUGCCAAUUGUCCAGUGUCCUAAUUUCUAUUUCUAUUUCUAUUUCUUCUGGAAAAAUUUAAGAAUUGGAAGUAAUAUCUGUUAGAUUGAUGAAUGCACUACAGUGGUAACCAGUUUUAUGACCUUUGUUCUUCAUCCAUAAAAUUGGUGUUUAUGCGUACUUAGACAUUAAUUGUUUAUCCCUGAAAUAAAUGAAUGUUCAUCUUUUUUCUUUUGCCAUGGUGCUUUGACUUUUGCCAUUAUUUUAUGCGCACCUGUGUCCUUGAAAAUUCAAAUGAGACGUUUCUUCUCUCUUUCCUGAUUGAUUUUGAAUCGUUUGCCUUUUCUCAAGAGAAUGAUAAUAUUCCACGCCUGUCUAGUUUUACGAAUGAAGCAGGAAGUUGUUAAGUUCAUAUGCGAUCCUACUAGGGAGCAGAUGGAGUUCCAGCAGCUGCCUACUUCUUAUUUGCGUUUGAUGUGUAGCCCAGCUCUACUCACUGCAAUCAAUGGUUUUAUUGGAUAAUAAUCAGCCUGAUGGUUCUGGUUCCAGAAUCAUUGUACACAAGACUUCUGAUCUUCAGCUUCCUUCGAUUCGUCUUGCUGAUGUUCCUGUAAAUCUACCUGAUGAAGAUACUGGUGUUAUUAAGGUUGCAAUCAAGCAGAGGCCACAGAGGUUUUCACCCUCUCGAAGCAGUUCUAAUUCACACUCAUCGAAAUCUAAUAGUGCUAAAAGUGUGGAGCAACGAACGGAGGAAUACGAAAGGGCUCGAGAUCGGAUAUUUAAUUCCAGUAGAUCUAGUGCAAGUUCCGGUGACAACCUAGAAAGUGAAUCGAGGAUGCACAAAAGUUUCCAGCAAGGUUCACUGGAGAUAACAAAGGUGGAAGAGAGAAUUCUCCCAGAAGGUGGCUCUCAAGUCAAUCCGGGAAGAAAUUCAUUAGAUUCUUCUGCAGUUAGCAAUAGACCACAUAGAAGUAGGACAGAAAAGGAGAUAAUUGGUGGGUCAAAAAAUAAUAAUAAAGUGGCCAUCUUUCGGGAUCGUGAAGUUGAUUGUAAGGAUCCUGACUAUGACAGGAGCUAUGACAGGUAAUCCCCUUUCUCGGCUCCCAAAAAAAUUCAAGUUACCGCUUCCUACUCAGUGAUCUGUAUGAUCUAUGUUAUGAGUAUAAUCUUUUUUUGUUUGUUCUCUCGUUGUGGUUGAUACUUGGAUUUUCUUUAAUAUAGAUGGCCUUUCUAUCAAUUUAUUUUUCAUUUUAAGCAGUCUCUCACUCACUCUCUUACCUGGUCUAUCCAUACAUUUGACUGUGCACUCAUUGAAUAAAUCCAUUCAUUAAAUAUGAAACUUUUACUUUUUAGCCCUUUCCCCCUUAAACCAGGGGUCUGAUAUGUAGACAUACAGCUUCUUUUUUGGCAUUUUGUGUAUAUGUAACUCAGUUUUUGUAUUAGCUUGUGGAUUAAAUUUGUUUGGGAUUGGUUUAAGGUUUUUUUAACCUCAGCAGGCCUGGACUAAUAUUUUAGUAUUUUUCUCAGAUAUACGCAAAGGUUUGACCCUGGGUUUAGAUUCAAUGGAGGCCCCUACACUAUCCAACCCAUGUAUGCACCUGCAUUGAACUAUAACACUGAAUUUCAUCAACUUGGAUCAAAUCAUAGGCCUUCGAUUUCAGCUGAACAUCGCCAGCACCUACCUGGGCGAUGGGCCGUAACAUCAGCUCCUCCUGGUUUUGGGUAUGGUCGCCCAGAAAUCAUGAUGUCCCCGUUUCUUCUCAAUCAUGUCAAUGCACACUCAAACUCUGCUCUUUACCUAUAUUCUGUCCAGAAUCAUUGUCAGCACUCUGGACUGCCAUUUAUCCAUCCCCGUGAAGUCAUUCACCAAUCCUUUUCACAGGUAUGAUAAGUGAAAUAAGUCUUAUCUGUCCUUUGGUUCCAAUCUGGUUGGCAAGUUAUUAUUGAUUAUCUUUCUGCAUUUUCACUAACAUCUCCUCCCCAUCCCUAAUGCUUCCCUCAGAAAGGAUUGAAGUAAUGUAAACUGUAGAUCAAAAGACAAACCAGUUAAAGAAAAUUAGAGAAAUAGACCCUUGAACCAAUUUCAGUUUAGGAAUACUAGUGCAACUAUUGUAUAAUUGGAAUUUAAUUAUGUCGUGACUCCAGUGUUUGUUCCUCGAUCCACUCCCCUUCCCUAUUAUUACUCCAUAGGGCAGCUGCUGUCUCCGGUUCCUCACUACCCAGUUGCCUGAAGCCUGCAUUGCCAACUACACUACCUCAUUUCUUUCAUAAACAGCAGAAUAAGUAAAAAUCCACAUUAAUAAACCACUAACGUAUGGGCUACAGGGGGAGAAGAAGAUCUGAGAUUAGCAGUUCGAAUUCAACCCAAUGAGGACAGCCAAGGAGCGUAGCUGAGGGAGACAAUCGUUAUAAUUUGUUGACUAGUUUUAAAUCUGCGUUGCUGAUAACAUUUUAUGUUUAGCUGGUAGCCAUAUGCCCUAGCUAACAUUAUGAGACAAGAUAUGUGCCAUAGUGCUCUGUAACGAAAGUACUAUGAGUUGAGUAUGGAGUCUUGUUAGCUGUGUGUUUUACACAUUACUUUUCCAGCGUAUUGCUCGUUCUUUUCCAAUGGAGAAAUCUUAGAGUACACUCCAUGUAUUCAUUUUCUUUCUCAAGACACAUAAAGUGUCAUCUAUCAACUUGAUUUAUAUACUUUAAUAAAUUAUUUUCUUUUUAGCAAUUUGUUGUUUGAUUCCAGAAAAAAGGGAAAAGAAAUGAGGUGAUCCUGCUUGCUCAUGUUCUAUGUUUGUCUUCUGUUUGCUUCUUUCUAUCUUGUGUUUAUCAAAUACUGCUAUCAAUUUCUCUUUGAAUGAAAAUGAGCAACCCAUUCCUCCCUGCUUCUCCUUCUGUUAUCUCUCCUUUUCCUUCUGUAGGAACCCACAAACAACACAGAACAUUCACACAGCUAAAGACCAAAAGUGCAGAUCUGAAGAAAAUAAAACGCAACAUAUUUUUAGGCCGAAGCCCCGAGGUUCAGCGAUCAACAAGACCGCCUAAUCCCCGUUGAGCAUCCACGGAGGAAUAAGCUCGAAUCCACUAAAUCAGCCAGCCAAAACCAACAAAGUAUCGAUUACAACGGAACACACAGUUCCACAAAUUUCGUACAGCACAACACAACAACUUCUCUACACAACAAGAACUCACACAAGAGUUCACAGAACUAAGUUUUCUCUACAAAGAUCACUCAAAAUCAAAACCCAAAAAAUCACAAGAAAAAUACAGAGAGAAAACUCAAAACGAGAAGAAGCUGCGCGAAUAUGAAAAAAAAAGGGUUCUCUAACCCUAGAGUCUUUUGACUCAAUUAAAAGGGGCAGCUCAAUCAUCUCAAUCCAACGGCUCACCAUUCACCACGCGUUGACGAUCCAUAAGAGUUGUUAUUUUAAAACUGAAAAUGUGUUUUUGUUAAAACCAAAUUGGUUCCAGAUUCUUCCAUUAAAUGGGCUGUCAAUUGGGUCAUGAGCUGGGUCUUUACUUGGGCCCCUUUAAGUAGCUGGGCUGGACUCCACAAAAGCAGCAACAUACUUCACACCUUCCUUCUCUCACUCUUUCCCCCUGAAACAACAAAGCCAUUGUAAAGAAUAUGUUUCAGCCAUGCAAUGCGAACUAUAAAGGGUUCCCCACCACUAUUUUAUGAUUCCUAGCUUAGGCUGUAUACAAACACGAAUAGAUGACUUCAGAAUAACUUAAUUUCUGUCCAUUUGACAUUUCUAGAUGCCAAUCUUCGAGUAGCUAUUUAUCAUAUUUUUACCAGUUUGUUGUCUAUUGGAAUCCCAAGUUCUUAAGAAAAUGAUUUUACUGCAUGCUUGUAGCAUAAGGGCUCUGCUAUUGAACUUGAAGCCAACAAGUAAAUAGAGAGCUCUAGGAGGAAGAGUAUCCUAAAAAUGAUGUAAUGCAGUUUAAAGUGAAAUGAAGACAGAAUAUGAUUAUUCUAUAUGACCACAAAAUAACUGCCAAAUUGGAAUAUGUGGAAUGGCAAUUAGGUCACAUUUUGUUCUAUGAUAGUGACUGUUGUGCAUUAAAAGACAAAAUGCUAAUAGGAUGAAUAUAGCAAAAAUAAAGAUGUCAAGAAUGCAUUUUGACACUAGAACGGAUAUAUUUAGAAUGAGGAUGUAUGCUUAGAAGUGAUUUAGCACUAAUCGAGGAUAAAUUAAGGUGACAGUAGUAUAGUCAUUUGAGUUAUGUCUUUUGUAAACCUAAAGCAGUUCCCACAUACUAUUACGUCAGAAUUUUGGUAGAACAUGUUAGAAAGAGGGAUAAACGGACCAAAAUUAACAUGGCUUUAGAUGGUUGCAAGAUAUUUGAUUUUCUAGGACAUUUCAAAGAUAUCUUUUAGUUGAUCAAAAUGGAGGAAAUGGACUUUUAUAACCAACUAUAAAUUUAAUGGGAAUAGAGUUUUAACAUUUUUUGGCAUUAUGGAGGGAGGGGGUGUGGAGAGGCACAAUGUGACGUUCCUUAGGUACCAGCGAUGUGCUUUGGGUAGAAAAGGUUGGGAGUAGAAUGCGUUUGUGAGGACUUCAACAAAAUUGAAGACCCCAAAUCCUGUUCAAUUUUUGGUUUGACAUUGACAAAUUUGUCAAAAUGAAGAAAAGAAUAAAAAAAGUUGGCACUAGAUUAACGUUUAUGGGCCCCACCUGACAUUUAAAUUUAAUCAAUUUUAGUAAGCUCUCAAAUCUUCCCUUCUCGGUUUUGAAAAAUGAAAAUUUUAGAUCUUAAUAUGUAGUUAAAGGCAUCAUGACAUAAUUUGCGUCAUUCUGUAAAUGUAGCAUUUAGUAGGAACCUUAGAACCUCAAUACUUUGACUUUUUGCCAUAGGACAGUUGUUUGAGACAGACAAAAAUGGAAACUUGAUAUUCUAUUAUGUUUUUGGAUGGUUGUAUUCCAAUCUUGCUUCAAUUGUGUAGAUUUUUUUUCUGAAAUUUGAUUUAAACUAGAGCUAUUUUUUGUUUGGACUCGUUAUUUAUCAUCAACAUAGAUGCGUGACAACCUGACUAUUUUGCACAUCUCUUUUCAUUUUAAUCAGCAGCAACCCAAUAGCAGUGUUGGAAUAUCCAGGCCCUGGUGAGGGGCUUGGGCCAUGCCUGCACCCUGUCAGCAUAUUCUUGGGUUUGACCCUGUUACGGCUGCUAGGGCAGCAUACUUGUCCGAGCUGGCCAGGGUGCAGGCACAAGCAACCGAGAUGCUCUAGGUGGACACUCUUAACCUGCAUUACCUACUUUUGUCCAUGCUGUAACUCGGUUUAAUAGAGCUUCCUUUGGAGCUCAUUGGUCAUGGCACUGCAAAUGGUGGAUGAGUUCCCUAGAACUCUGCAUUUGCACUGAUGAUGAUGAAAAAUAUUGGAACAAGAAGAGGAAUUUUUAUAGCUCUGAAAACACGAUUCUAUGUUGAGCACAGGUAUCUUGACAUCUUAAUCCGACUUUAAUUUUUAGGUCUGGGAUAUAAUAUUGUUAUUAAAAAAGGGAUGCCCAUUUUGUGAACUUAGCUUUCUUUUUUCUGUUGCAGCAUCUGCACAUAUUAAAAAGCACGAUUGACUGAGGGAUAUGUUGAAGAGUAGGCAGAAAUUGCAUACUUUGGUGCUUGGCUAACAUGUGGUUUGUAUGAUUGUUACCUGUCUUAUACCAGAAAAUUUUCUGUUUCAUUAAUCAUUAUUAUGAAUUAUAUUGGCGAACAGUUUUAUUUUUCUUGUUUAACUCUUAUCUAUGGCCACUCGAAGAAGUAUUUUCUUUGCUGAGUAUUCUAAUUCUUCAAUAAUCUGAGGGACUACUCUAAUGGUUGCACUUUGAUAUUUCUUUCUGGUAAGUCUGAAAAAUGAUGCCUUUACUGUUCUUUUGCUUUGGUCUAGCCUGUUGACGACGGAUGUGCAUUUCUCCAUAGUUCUGAAUGCAGUUAUUUCUCUUGUUGACUUUUUGGGGAAGACUAUGGGGCAUAUUUCUGUUUUUGACGAAAAUCUGGACUAAUUUCCCAAAAAAAGGUGUUUGAUGAAUAGAGGAGAAGGGUAUUAUUGUUUAGUACUGAGUAUUGUUAUGAAAUUAUGUAAUGGAGGAAUCAUGGAAGUCUUGAAUCGGUUGCUUUUGGUGUUACGAAAAUCAUUUAAUUAAUUUUGGAACUGUCCUGAAGAAAAUCAUUUUUUCUAUUCCUUAAAAUUCAUAUUUUUUCCCAAAUUCAUUUUUAACCUUACAUUUGGUGGGAUUCACAGCUUUUUAUCAAUUAUUCAACAAUACAUUUAAAUAAACUUUUAUCAAAAUGUAUUAAAAAUCUGAUUUUUAUCCAAAUCAAAGUAGGUUUUAGCAAGUCAAGAGUUCUAUUUAGUCUAUAUAUCUUCCAGUAAUGUCAGUGUCAUGAGAUGGGAAAAUUAGUUCAGCAAUAUGCUCAAUGGUUGGCUUAAACAUGACGCGACAUGUGAACAUUUAUGUUCGAUAGAAGACCGUUCAUGUUUCAACCUGUCCCUUCUAGACAAGGCAUUUCUUUUCAGAACAUGUUUUUACAAGCAACAAUAUUUCUCAUACAUAACUUUUGGCUUAUUAUAAACGGAUUUUCAUGCUUUAUUUUUUCAGAUAAAUAUUCACAGCAAUCUGACUGACCUUUAUGCUUGGCCCUGUAACUUCCCAGUGACGUUUUGGCGCAGCAAGAAUAAUGCUUCCCUUCCCCACCUCAAUGUUGGCAAUUGCAUAUGCUGAGUCAUGUUUAUGCAAUUGCAUAUGCUGAAUCAUGUUUAUGGUGUCACAAUAUGCAUGUCGCCGUGUCUUUGUCAUCUUAUCUCUUCCCGUGCAUAUCAACAUUCCUACUGCUCCCUGUUUUGUUCCCCAGAAUUUCACACAUUUAUUUAUUUUUUUUUUUUUUUUUGGCAAAUGCAACUUUCACGUGCUACUUGGCCUCAAUACAAAACCAAAGCCCUUUAUUACGACAAAAAGGGCUUUGCACAUAGCUUUUUUUCUGCUUAUUUUGCUUCAAACUUGUGUUCUUCUCGUGUCCAUGCUUGUUUCUCUAGUAUAUCCAUCCAUUUCUCUCUCUCUCUCACUCUCACUCACUCUCUCUCACUCUCUCAAUAUAUAUAUAAAGAUUUAUCUCACUAAGAAACAAUGCAUAUAAGAACAGUUCCUUCUUGGCCCCCAACAUCUCCCUGGACCCUGGUAAUUUCUCAUAGGUAAGUUGCUUAUAUUUUUUGAGUAACUUGUUUGUUUGGAUACGUUAUUUUUCUUCAUUGUUUGGACCAACAAAGAAGUUAAUUGUUUUAAAACUUGCUUAAACGAAGUAACCAUGUUUCCUGUAUGGAUGCUUUAUUUUCAGGAGCAAAUACAAUUAGGUUGCCAUGGAGAAGCAGAAUUCAGAGCUGUACUUGAAGAACUGCCAUAUUUUUCUUGAAAAUGAGAGGCUAAGGAAGAAAGCGCAACGGCUCGACCAGGAGAAUCGGGCUUUGUUAUCUGAGCUGCAGCACAGACUUUCAGAAGCAAAUUCAGCACAAAAAAAUGAAUUUGGUAUCAACACCACACCAAAAAAUUCUACGACAGAUCAUAGGAAGUCCAACAAGCCUUGAUCAACUCAUCCCCCGGCCCAUGUAAUGAAUGAGUUUAGUGUAAAAUAAGGUUUAUCUGUAAUGUUUGAUUCUUUGAAGUAUCCAUGAUCAUGCCUUGAAACUUGUUUGGAUAAUUUGUGAGACGGAAUAAUGUAAUAAAUAUUAAAUGUUUGUUUACGUGAAUAAACAGAGCUACUAAAUUUCGCCAUUA